GUGCUCGAUUUAGCAGCACAUACACUAAAAUUGGAACAUACAGAGAAUAUGUGCAUGACCCAUGCACAAGGAGGACAUGAACACACAUGCACACACACACUCACUC